GAGACAGACAGAGAGAGACAGACAGACAGACAGAAGAGAGAUGUAUAGUCACCUUGAGAGUGAGUAGCUCCU